AUAAGCCUGUCUAGGCACUAAGCAGUUUGCUCUGAGGAUGUGCUGGACGCUUUUGGAAGUCUGAUUAACCCUCCUCAUCCCUUCUGAAACUUCUCUUCAGGGAUGCUACAAUCUGUUGCAGUGGGGGUAUCCAACAGAUCCUGCAUUCCCACCUUCUUACAGCCUUUUUUGGGGUCUUCAGUUAGAAGUCCCCUGGUAAUAGAGUUCACACGCCGUGUGACUAUAAUGGGGCAGGACCUAUCUUCUCGUGGGGAGAGCUCAGAGCUGGCUACUUGUGUCCUCGCAGUGCUGGAUUUGGGCACAGCAGAACUGCGGGCAGCGUUCUGUCCCCUCUGCCAGCACCGGCUGCAGCUCAGGGACUGGCAAGCAGGCAGGAUGAGCUGGUGGAGCUCCUCCGGUGCUGCGGUGAUGAGGGCUUUGCUUCCCCUCUCCCAAACCAGCGGAU